CACGUAGGGCGCAAGCGUUGUCCGGAAUUAUUGGGCGUAAAGCGCUCGCAGGCGGCUUGCUACGUCAUGCGUGAAACACCCCGGCUCAACUGGGGAGGGUCGUGUGAUACGGGCAGGCUUGAGGCCAGUAGGGGGAUGCGGAAUUCCGGGUGUAGUGGUGGAAUGCGUAGAGAUCCGGAGGAACACCAGCGGCGAAGGCGGCAUCCUGGACUGGUACUGACGCUCAUGAGCGAAAGCGUGGGGAGCGAUCCGG
rnacentral:rRNA from 1 species